rnacentral:rRNA from 1 species
UACGUAGGGGGCAAGCGUUGUCCGGAAUUAUUGGGCGUAAAGCGUCCGCAGGUGGCACUUCAAGUCUGUCGUCAAAGACUGGGGCUUAACCCUGGAAAGGCGGUGGAAACUGAAGCGCUAGAGUGCGGUAGGGGUAGAGGGAAUUCCCGGUGUAGCGGUGAAAUGCGUAGAGAUCGGGAAGAACAUCGGUGGCGAAAGCGCUCUACUGGACCGCAACUGACACUCAGGGACGAAAGCUAGGGGAGCGAAUGGG